CUUGCGGUCACAUCAAGUUAAAACACCGUUUCCCAUACGAUCAACGAAGUUAAGCAACGUUGAGUUUGGUCUGUACCUAGAUGGGUAACCAGUUCGUAAUACCAAGUGCCAU